UCCUAACUUCAAAUUAUCUCA
rnacentral:piRNA from 1 species